GGGGGAUAUCUGUGUGUGCAGGUGACUAUUACUGUGCAUAAUUAUUAGGCAACUUAACGAAAAACAAAUAUAUACCCAUUUCAAUGAUUUAUUUUUCCCAGUGAAACCAAUAUAACAUCUCCACAUUCACAAAUAUACAUUUCUGACAUUCAAAAACCAAACAAAAACAAAUCAGCGACCAAUAUAGCCACCUUUCUUUGCAAGGACACUCAAAAGCCUGCCAUCCAUGGAUUCUGUCAGUGUUUUGAUCUGUUCACCAUUAACAUUGCGUGCAGCAGCAACCACAGCCUCCCAGACACUGUUCAGAGAGGUGUACUGUUUUCCCUCCUUGUAAAUCUCACAUUUGAUGAUGGACCACAGGUUCUCAAUGGGGUUCAGAUCAGGUGAACAAGGAGGCCAUGUCAUUAGUUUUUCUUCUUUUAUACCCUUUCUUGCCAGCCACGCUGUGGAGUACUUGGACGCGUGUGAUGGAGC
ensembl:lncRNA